rnacentral:rRNA from 1 species
AUUGAACGCUGGCGGCAGGCCUAACACAUGCAAGUCGAGCGAGCGGCGGACGGGUGAGUAAUGUAUGGGGACUGCCCGAUAGAGGGGGAUAACUACUGGAAACGGUAGCUAAUCCCGCACACUAUCGGGUUACCCCUAUGGGAUUAGCUAGUUGGUGGGGUAAUGGCUCACCUAGGCGUCGAUCCCUAGCUGGUCUGUGAGGAUGAUCAGCCAACCUGGGACUGAGACACGGCCCAGACUCCUACGGAGGCAGCAGUGGGGAUUAUUGCACAAUGGGCGCAAGCCUGAUGCAGCCAUGCCGCGUGUAUGAAGAAGGCCCUAGGGUUGUAAAGUUCUUUCAGUCGGGAGGCGUUACCGACAGAAGAAGCACCGGCUAACUCCGUGCCAGCAGCCGCGGUAAUAC